rnacentral:rRNA from 1 species
GACGAACGCUGGCGGCGUGCCUAAUACAUGCAAGUAGAACGCUGACUACUUUAGCUUGCUAGAGUAGAAGGAGUUGCGAACGGGUGAGUAACGCGUAGGUAACCUGCCUACUAGCGGGGGAUAACUAUUGGAAACGAUAGCUAAUACCGCAUAACAGUGUUUAACACAUGUUAGAUGCUUGAAAGAUGCAAUUGCAUCACUAGUAGAUGGACCUGCGGUGCAUUAGCUAGUUGGUGAGGUAACGGCUCACCAAGGCCACGAUGCAUAGCCGACCUGAGAGGGUGAUCGGCCACAUUGGGACUGAGACACGGCCCAA